rnacentral:lncRNA from 1 species
GAGAGCUGCCGGCGCCUUUGGUGACCAGGCUGGCGUUGUGCUGGGCGACCUCCCCGUAAGCGGGGCUCGGGUCUUUGCUGUAGUUGGCCUUUUGCCUUGCUGCUCCUUUGGCUGCCUGGGGAGCGUGGCCCCCUGUAACGGAGGGCGAGAGCCACCUCUCCGCACCUGAGUGGGAAAUGGAGCUCGCCGGACCCCAAGGCCACCCUGUAAGCAGGGUAGUGCCGUUUCCCUGCCCCUCUUCCUCCCCCGGCCCCUCGGCAUCGUUGCCUGAUGGUGGCUUGUCAAUGCGACGGCCCCGUACUCGGGGUGUGUGUCCCAAGCUUCGGAGCCCUCUGUCCCUGAGCAGCCCGCCCGCCCUGUAAUCAGGUGUGGGGAGGCUGCAGCGUUGCAGCCGGCUGCUUUAGCCAUCCAGCUGGUGGGAGUGACCCCUCCCUGUCCCGUCAGAGGGUGCAGGUUGAGGUGCUGUUUGUGUGUGGGGUGACCUCCCCGCUCGGUGGGUCGAGGUAGCUCCCUGGGCUUCCAAAGACGAGACGUUGGUGAUGUUCUGGUGCUGCCGGGCGGGCCAGCCUGUAACUCAGGCGUUGGCGGGAGCCUCGUGCUCCGCGGGGCUUCUUGAAGAGGGUGAGGUGUGGGGGUACCGUCCUGUAGGCAGGGCUGUGUGUGCCCCCCGUGUGUGCUUGGUGAGCUGCGUUCUGAGAGACCCCCUGUACUCAGGUGGGAAUGUGGCCCCGGCCUUUCAGAGGCGCGGGGCCGUGAGAUGCGGGGUGGGGCUUGCGCCCUCCCUGGAAUCGGGGCUGGGAUCCCGACUGCGGCCUUUGGCCGUGCCGCCCCGCUGCCUGGCUGCUGAGAGUUGCUCCUGCCGCUGGGGGGGAAACCGAGCUCUGUGGCUCCAGGGGUGUUGUCCACCCGCCUGUAAUCAGGGUCUGGGUGCGUGAGCGUUUGUGCUCUGCUGGCAGCCUGUGUGGGGUGACCGCCCCGCUAGCGGGGUGUGGGUCGAGGUGCCCCGGACUGGGAGAGAAGGAGCCUCCCUCGGCCGUAGGGAUGGGGGCUGCCCUGUAAGUCAGGGAGCAUCUGUGUCCCGGAGUCCCAGGCCCUUUUCGAUGGCGGCAGUGGCCGGGGGUCCCCUGUAAGCAGGGAAGCUGACUCUUUGGCUGCUGCUUUUUGUGUGCCCAGCCCCAUUUGCCCAGUCUGCCCGCCUCUGUGAUCCCCCGCAGCACUGGC